AUUGAACGCUGGCGGCAGGCUUAACACAUGCAAGUCGAGCGGAGAUGAGGUGCUUGCACCUUAUCUUAGCGGCGGACGGGUGAGUAAUGCUUAGGAAUCUGCCUAUUAGUGGGGGACAACAUUCCGAAAGGAUUGCUAAUACCGCAUACGUCCUACGGGAGAAAGCAGGGGAUCUUCGGACCUUGCGCUAAUAGAUGAGCCUAAGUCGGAUUAGCUAGUUGGUGGGGUAAAGGCCUACCAAGGCGACGAUCUGUAGCGGGUCUGAGAGGAUGAGCGGCCACACUGGGACUGAGACACGGCCCAGACUCCGACGGGAGGCAGCAGUGGGGAAUAUUGGACAAUGGGGGGAACCCUGAUCCAGCCAUGCCGCGUGUGUGAAGAAGGCCUUAUGGUUGUAAAGCACUUUAAGCGAGGAGGAGGCUACUGAGACUAAUACUCUUGGAUAGUGGACGUUACUCGCAGAAUAAGCACCGGCUAACUCUGUGCCAGCCGCCGCAGUAAAAC
rnacentral:rRNA from 1 species